UAGAUACCCUGGUAGUCCACGCCCUAAACGAUGUCAACUAGUCGUUCGGAGCGGUAACGCACUGAGUGACGCAGCUAACGCGUGAAGUUGACCGCCUGGGGAGUACGGCCGCAAGGUUAAAACUCAAAGGAAUUGACGGGGACCCGCACAAGCGGUGGAUGAUGUGGAUUAAUUCGAUGCAACGCGAAAAACCUUACCUACCUUGACAUGCCAGGAAUCUUGGUGAGAGCCGAGAGUGCCUUCGGGAGCC
rnacentral:rRNA from 1 species